rnacentral:rRNA from 1 species
AUUGAACGCUGGCGGCAUGCCUUACACAUGCAAGUCGAACGGUAACGCGGGGCAACCUGGCGACGAGUGGCGAACGGGUGAGUAAUGCAUCGGAACGUGCCUGGUAGUGGGGGAUAACUGCUCGAAAGAGCAGCUAAUACCGCAUACGACCUGAGGGUGAAAGGGGGGGAUCGCAAGACCUCUCGCUAUCAGAGCGGCCGAUGUCGGAUUAGCUAGUUGGUGGGGUGAAGGCCCACCAAGGCAACGAUCCGUAGCUGGUCUGAGAGGACGACCAGCCACACGGGGACUGAGACACGGCCAAGACUCCUACGGGACGCAGCAGUGCGGAAUUUUGGACAAUGGGCGCAAGCCUGAUCUAGCCAGGCCGCGUGCGAGAGAAAGGCCUGCGGGUUGUAAACCGCUUUUGUCAGGGAAGAACCGCUCCGGGCUAAUAGCCUGGGGUAAUGACGGUACCUGAACAAUAAGCACCGGCUAACUACGUGCCAGCCGCCGCAGUAACAC